rnacentral:lncRNA from 1 species
CUGGAGAGGAUUUCCAGACUCAUCAGGGGAAGGCCAGCAUGCAGACGGCUGUGACACAGGGACACCACACUAGUAAGAAGCGGGUGCUCCCAUCUCAUCACACAGCAGCUGGUGGGGAGUGGGCCUGGGACAAAGCAGCUAAACACAAGACCUGGCCACAUUUUGGGGGCAGUCCGACAGGAGACAGAGCUGCAGGCCUUCUGGAGCACACAGAGCUCCUUUCUGUGCUUUGAAGAAAGCUUGCCAGCUUCCCAUGUGUGCAGGAUAUGUGUCCUCCUCCUUUUUAUCAUUCCUCGCUGCAAAUGCCCUGUCAGUGCAAUGCGCAUUUCAACAGUGAGUCUCUCAUAGCAAUCCUUAUCUUUAAUUUCCUUCCGCUAUAGUCUAUUUUAUGGAGCUUUUCCUUUGCUGGCAUUUUUUUUUUUUUUUCCCAUUCUCAUUUCAGCUGCGAUGGCCAGAUCAGGAUCAAAAUUUCUCACACAUUGAAGGGAGUGUCUGGAGGCAGAAAAUGUCAUGCAGAUCAAAGUAGAGGUGCAGGUCAGGGCAAUAUGUGUGCCUGCCCUUCACACCUACUUUAGCCAGAUGCCUUUUCAGUUUUGUGCUCCAUGAUAAAAUCAGUUUCUUUUCUUAAUCAUCUAUUUUAAUCACGCCUUAAUAGCAAAGGGCUUGAUCUAAAACCCAAGAUAGGAAUCUUCCCUUCACAUUUAGCAUGACCAAAGGGAGCAGCAGCAUUCAUUUUAUCAUCAGUUUCCUCAGAAAGUGCCUCCUGAGGCAGAAGGAAAAGCCUCAACUCCAGCAAGAAAUGCAUCCUCAAAGGCAUUUGAGGCUUUCUCCCUUUCGGGCUUGCAUGCUGCCCUUUUUCUUGUGUGGCCAGCAGUUCCAGAGCGAUCACGUAGUGGAUUUUCAGUUUCAAGACGACUCCCUCCAUGUUCUCCAGGAAACGUGCAGCAGAGGAGAGGAGGAUAUGAAUUAGAGAACACUCAGCCUGACAAUAAGCACCCGCAGCAUCUUCACACAAAAGAGACUCAAAACCAAAAAAUCAACUUUAAAAAGAGAUUGAGGC